UAGGCCACGCGGCUCGGGGGUCUGCGCACAGCCGGCGUUCGGGAGCGGUGGGGGCCGCUCUUCCCCUGGGCGUGGGCCCACACGGUACUCGGAAAGCUUCGCCUGGUGGCCCCACCCUCUGCCCUCAUGCCUCCCCUGGCUCUUCCAGACAUGCUACCUUGGGUAUUCACCUGGGGGAAGUUGACCAUCUUGAUCGGGAUCAUGGACUCCAGGAGCCUGGGAGAGGAGAGGAGAGAUGAGAGCCAAGGCGGCACUAGGCUAUGAGGUUCUGGAGGGCCUGAAUCCUAUUCAUCUCUAACUCCAGAGAACAUGCUGGAUGGUAAAGGGAGAAGAGGGGGGUAAAGACAGACAAGGAAUGAGGAGAUCACUUCCCUGUCCCUAGAAAUGCUUCCAGGAAGGACGACCUUCUGAUACCGUGCUGACACGCACGGAGAACUCAGAAAGCCUGCCUGGAGCCUUGGGAGAGCACUUGACGAUUUACCUAUUUGACCUGCUCCCCUUUAAAAGACAGGCCAACCUCAGCAGAGAAUGCCCAGAAUUCAGGGCUGUGAUGGUGAAGCCCUGGGAAAGGUCUUACUUGAGGGAACCAGUGUGUCUCCUGUCUCUUCCUGCUUACCACUCCUCAGAGCACCGCUGACCGUUUUCUUGAAAAACAGCCUUGAAGUGGUAUAAAAAUUCCACACAGAAAGAAUAAAAGUACAAGUCACUUUCCCCCACUCUCUUCUUAAGUAGCCAGCUCCUAAUAAUAUACCUUGGAUUUUGGCUAGAUCUUACCUCCUCUGGGAAAUCUGCCCUGUCCCACCCUCUAGUCUACUCUGGGUCAGGUGUCCUUCCUGUGGAUCCCAUCAGAGCAAAUGAGUGCUGAACUGUAAUGGCACGGGAGGGCAAGGCUCCCAUCUACCUUCACUCUCUGUCUUCCAUGAGACAGAACCAUUACGGUGCCCAGCACAGAACAAAUGGUCAAUAAAUAGCUGCUAAGUGGUA